rnacentral:misc_RNA from 1 species
UAUCCGUAGGUGAACCUGCGGAGGGAUCAUUACAGAGUUCAUGCCCUACCGGGUAGAUCUCCCACCCUAUGUUAUUAUUACUUUGUUGCUUUGGCGGGCCGUUAGGCUUCGGCCCGACUACCGGCCCCGGCUGGUAAGCGCCCGCCAGAGGACCCAAAACCCUGAAUAUUAGUGUCGUCUGAGUACUAUAUAAUAGUUAAAACUUUCAACAACGGAUCUCUUGGUUCUG